AAGACUAUACUUUCAGGGAUCAUUACUAUAGUUUGUUGCUACACAAGUUUCUCUGAUGGUGUAGGGCACUGGAAGCCACGAGAAGCACCAUGUUCUCUCCUGAGUGUGAAGCUGGCUCUUGGUGUUGCUUCGCUGCAACUGCCAUUUGCUAUUGGUGAUUGUUCUUGCUUUCCUUCAGGGGUGCAAGAGGAAGAGGUUGUAGUCUGAGUAGU
rnacentral:snoRNA from 1 species